UUUCACGCAUAAAAAAAAGUCUGUGGUAUGGCAUUGGUACACACCUUUUGUUUUCCUGACCUCUUUUAUUGCACCUCUGAUCACACCCAGAAUUACAGUUGCGUGUGGUGACACCUAAUUACAUUUAUAAUAACACAGCUGACGUAGGUGUACUGGCACUGAAGCAAGACAAAAACCGCGUAGGCAUUCAUAAUAUAUUUAUUUUGACAGGUUUGCUGUUGUGCAAUAAGUCUUUUACUUUAGCUGCUUCAAAACACAGACUGGGACAGUGGGCAUCAAUGAUUGAGAGUGACAAUGAAUAUUAUGUAUAUACGUUUCUGUUCUUGCAAAAAAGAUUGACAUCCCUUUUUUUUAACUUAAGUGACGUUUAUUCAUGGCCAUUAUUAGGGUCAGAUUGUGUUUGUUUUAUAUUUCUUUACCCAAUGAAUUGUUUUCUUUGCUAUUUUCAAGCAUUACUAACAUUUUGACUGAUUCUUUAGGCUUUUGUAGAAAAUAUCAAAAAGUUAUGCUUUAAACAUUGUCAUGGUUUUUAACCAUUUCUUGUUUAGUUUAGUUGCCCUUACAUGCUUAUAUACAUUGGUUUCAUUUUGUAAAUAUAGUUGUGUUUGUUAUUAUUUAUUUGAUUCAUGUUUGUUCAUUUAUUUUUUAUUCACUUGUUACAACCAUUUCAAUUCAACAGGAAUUAAUGGAAACAGUGUUUCCCUGUUAGGCAUUAUGAAUGUAAAUUAAAGGCCAUAUUGUGGUAAUCUACAGUGUUCCUUUGCACUUAAAUUAUUUUGAACAUAUCCUGAAUAUUGCAGUAGUGGUCCAUAGUGAAUUUCUAUUUUAUGAAGAUGUGUCCCAAAACAAAAUAAAUUUAGAAAAGAAAAACUAUGCUAUAUAUUUGCAGACAUGUAUAAAUUACCACCAGUCUCACAGUUUCAUAAAACUAAAGAAUGUCUGUGAAAUUAUGCACUGUAUGUGGUCUGAUGGUCUGGCUUAUGGUAAAUUAGAUUGUAUUUUGCAUAUUCAGCCUUUUAAAUCAAGAAAUCGUUCUAUCCCAGAAUUCACUGUAGCGUAAAUAUAACAAAUGUCCAUGUAUGACUGCUUUUGUGAAUCUACAGUGAUGUUCACUCUCCAGUUGUGAGCUGAAACAGUUAAUAAAUGUACACCUAAAUAUCGUGUGUGAGUGUAAGCGAGCGUACACGUGCGUGUUCCAAGCAACUGCUGUUGUUUCAAUAAAAGCUUUUUGUAAAAUUUA